rnacentral:rRNA from 1 species
AAACCAGCACCUCAAGUGGUCAGGAUGAUUAUUGGGCCUAAAGCAUCCGUAGCCGGCUCUGUAAGUUUUCGGUUAAAUCUGUACGCUCAACGUACAGGCUGCCGGGAAUACUGCACAGCUAGGGAGUGGGAGAGGUAGACGGUACUCGGUAGGAAGGGGUAAAAUCCUUUGAUCUAUUGAUGACCACCAGUGGCGAAGGCGGUCUACCAGAACACGUCCGACGGUGAGGGAUGAAAGCUGGGGGAGCAAACCGGAUUAGAUACCCGAGUAGUCC